rnacentral:lncRNA from 1 species
UCAUGAUCCUUCUUUUAAGAGCUGCAUGGAUUUGGAGUCUUAUCCUCACUAGAAGAGAGGAAUGCACCCAAUGGAAAAGAGGAGAGCAACCAAAGUCUAAGCUAAGAGCAUAGUUUCAUUUUGAUGAGGCAGGAUACCAUGCUGUGGAGACCCAUUUGGCAAGAAACUAAAGGCAGCCACCAUCCAAAUGCUAGGAAAAAGCUACAGCUUUCUGUCUGAUGGCAAAGGAGACACUGAAUCCAGUCAACAAUAACAGGAGUUUGAUGGAAGAUCCAUUCCCCAGUGGAGCCUCAGAUAACACCUCAAGUCUGGCCAACAUUCUGACUGUAAACUUAUGAGAGACCCUGAAGCAGAGAAUUCAGCUAAUCCAUGCCUGGGUUUCUGACUCUCAAAAAUUCUGAGAUAAUAAAUGCAUGUUGUUUUAUG